rnacentral:rRNA from 1 species
AUUGAACGCUGGCGGCAUGCUUUACACAUGCAAGUCGAACGGUAACAGGCCUUCGGGUGCUGACGAGUGGCGAACGGGUGAGUAAUGCAUCGGAACGUACCCAGAGGUGGGGGAUAACGCAGCGAAAGCUGUGCUAAUACCGCAUGUGAUCUGAGGAUGAAAGCGGGGGACCGAGCAGCAAUGUUUGGCCUCGCGCCUUUGGAGCGGCCGAUGUCGGAUUAGCUAGUUGGUGGGGUAAAGGCCUACCAAGGCGACGAUCCGUAGCUGGUCUGAGAGGACGACCACCCACACUGGGACUGGGCCACGGCCCAGCGUCCUCCGGGAGGCAGCAGUGGGGAAUUUUGGACAGUGGGCGCAAUCCUGAUCCAGCACUGCCGCGUGCGGGAAGAAGGCCUUCGGGUUGUAAACCGCUUUUGGCAGGACCGAAACGGUGUCCGCUAAUACCGGGCGCUAAUGACGGUACCUGCAGAAUAAGCACCGGCUAACUACGUG